GGGGAAUAUUGGGCAAUGGGCGCAAGCCUGACCCAGCAACGCCGCGUGAAGGAAGAAGGCCCUCGGGUUGUAAACUUCUUUUAUCAAGGACGAAACAAAUGACGGUACUUGAUGAAUAAGCCACGGCUAACUACGUGCCAGCAGCCGCGGUAAUACGUAGGUGGCAAGCGUUAUCCGGAUUUACUGGGUGUAAAGGGCGUGUAGGCGGGACUGCAAGUCAGAUGUGAAAACCAUGGGCUCAACCCAUGGCCUGCAUUUGAAACUGUAGUUCUUGAGUGUUGGAGAGGCAGGCGGAAUUCCGUGUGUAGCGGUGAAAUGCGUAGAUAUACGGAGGAACACCAGUGGCGAAGGCGGCCUGCUGGACAAUAACAGACGCUGAGGCGCGAAAGCGUGGGGAGCAAACAG
rnacentral:rRNA from 1 species